rnacentral:rRNA from 1 species
CUCAUGGUUUCACGGUAUUGCAAUGAGAACAAUUUAAAACCCUUAGCGAGAAUCAAGUGGAGGACAAGUCUGGUGCCAGUACCCGCGGUAAUUCCAGCUCCACUAGCGUAUAUUAAAGUUGUUGCAGUUAAAAAGCUCGUAGUUGAACCUCUGUCUGGGGCUAGUUUUGGCUUUGGUCAGGCUAGUUCUAGGCAUCCGCCUACAAGACUUAGAGGGCAUUCAGUUGUUCACUAGGAGGAGUAGGCAUUUUACUUUGAAAAAAUUAGAGUGUUUAAGGCAGGCAAUCGCCCGCAUAUAUUAGCAUGGAAUAAUAGAAUAGGACACUUUUCCAUUUCGUUGGUUAUUGGAAUCGUGUAAUGAUUAAUAGGGACAGUUGUGGGCAUUUGUAUUUAAUUGUCAGAGGUGAAAUUCUUGGAUUUAUUAAAGACAAACUAACGCGAAAGCAUUUGCCAAGGAUGUUUUCAUUAAUCAAGAACGAAAGUUAGGGGAUCAAAGACGAUCAGAUACCGUCCUAGUCUUAACUAUAAACUAUUCCGACUCAAUGUUUGACUGGCUUAUAUAACCAGUUGAGCGUUGAAUGAGAAAUCAAAGUCUUUAGGUUCUGGGGGGAGUAUGGUUGCAAAGCUGAAACUUAAAGGAAUUGACGGAAGAGCACAACCAGGAGUGGAUUCUGCGGCUUAAUUUGACUCAACACGGGGAAACUUACCAGGUUAAAACAAUAGUGGGAUUGACAGUUUGAGAGCCUUUCUUGAUUGGUUGGGUGGUGGUGCAUGGCCGUUCUUAGUUGGUGGAGUGAUUUGUCUGCUUAAUUGCGUUAACGAACGAGACCUUAACCUGCUUACUAGACUGGCGAUCAUCAAUCGUUAGCUCUUCUUAGAGGGACUUUGGUUGUUUUAACUCCAAGGAAGUUUGAGGCAAUAACAGGUCUGUGAUGCCCUUAGAUAUCCUGGGCCGCACGCGUCAUACAAUGACUAGUUCAGAAAGUUUUCUCCUGACCCGAAAGGGGAUGGGUAAUCUUGAUAAUACUAGUCGUGUUAGGGAUCGAUCUUUGCAAUUAUAGAUCUUGAACGAGGAAUUCCUAGUAAGUGCGGUUCAUCAGACCGUACUGAUUACGUCCCUGCUCUUUGUACACACCGCCCGUCGCUUCUACCGAGUGGGUGGUCUGGUGAGAUAAUUGAACUUCGCAGGUAACUGAGAGGAAAGAUUAUCAAACCUAUCCACCU